CCUCCUCUCUAUCCCUAGAGAGUCUUGGUUGUAAAAUCCUGCUCCUGAGGACUGUUUACCUCUUCAUUAUGACUGCUGCACCUUUUCUGGGGAAAGAAAAUGUCCUAGUGGAAAACUUAAGAGCUGCAGAAAGCCAUCUACAGGGAGCCUCUUCUACCACAAGAUGUACCCAACUGAGAAGUUUGCUCACCUGCUGGCUGGGGAUUACCACUGUGUCAUCGAUCAUGGCGCUGUCCCUCAGACCAGCAAAGGCUCCAAGCUCGGAAGACCUGAAUGACGCAGGAUUUACACAUGCUGCGAGGCAACCCCAACUGCUUCCUGACGUUCUUUGUUCCAGAAGCAAUUCAUGGCCUGCUGGAGUAAACUGAAGGCACCCUAUUGAUCCCACUGAGCUUCCGAAAUGCUGCUGGAAUAACAAGCAAGGCUAGAAAAUGAGCACAGUUUCUGCCUGUACCUUCUGCCUGCAGAUUUCAGUCUCCUUCCCAACAGCUCAUUACUACUACUGGAGGCUUCAUUCUACACCACCAAUUCCUUCAAACUUUCUCAUUUUCCAAGCUUGCAUGGGCAUAUGUCAAGAACCUGAAGCUCAGUUACAUGCAGGAAACUGCAACUGUUACAACAGGAACAGUCUUCAGAGGCUUUGCAUUGCUGCUGCAGUAAUUCACUCUGAUAGGCUGAGACAUAGAGGGCUGUGAAGAUCAGGUUAAGUGGUAUCCAUGCUGGAGCAAACAGAAUUCACUUGGGCAUCAGGACAGUUGCCACUUGUGUGAUUUAAUGUCUCAAUAAAGCAAAUACUGCAAAACCUAGUUUCUGUUACUGCUGCUGUCACCCCAUACACACAUAUGGGUAUUGCCAACUAUAGCAGUGGUGGAUUAAUAAAUAAGUGAAAAGUAAAACAAAGAAAUAAUUUAUAACCUAUCAUCUAAAAGUAACCUUUUCUAACGCACAAAUAUUAGACGUAAAAAUGAAGCCUCAAUCUUUUCAGUGUAACAACAAAAACUCUUGAAAAAUCUAUCUGCCCACAUGAAGAGGGAGAAACUGGGCACAGUUUCACAGAAAACACUAAAAUACAUUUAAUCAUUGCAUGUUUCCUGUCUUCUGAUAGAUGAUGCCUCCUGUUUCCUGGGAAUGUCACAUUAUAAAGCACAGAGCUUAGAGAAAACUUGGAAGAUGUUAAGGCAAUGCUGUUAAUCAAACAACAAAA